GUGAGGGAUGACGGCCUUCGGGUUGUAAACCUCUUUCAGCAGGGAAGAAGCCACAAGUGACGGUACCUGCAGAAGAAGCGCCGGCUAACUACGUGCCAGCAGCCGCGGUAAUACGUAGGGCGCAAGCGUUGUCCGGAAUUAUUGGGCGUAAAGAGCUCGUAGGCGGUUUGUCGCGUCUGCUGUGAAAGCCCGGGGCUUAACCCCGGGUGUGCAGUGGGUACGGGCAGACUAGAGUGCAGUAGGGGAGACUGGAAUUCCUGGUGUAGCGGUGGAAUGCGCAGAUAUCAGGAGGAACACCGAUGGCGAAGGCAGGUCUCUGGGCUGUUACUGACGCUGAGGAGCGAAAGCAUGGGGAGCGAACAGGAUUAGAUACCCUGGUAGUCCAUGCCGUAAACGUUGGGCACUAGGUGUGGGGGACAUUCCACGUUUUCCGCGCCGUAGCUAACGCAUUAAGUGCCCCGCCUGGGGAGUACGGCCGCAAGGCUAAAACUCAAAGGAAUUGACGGGGGCCCGCACAAGCGGCGGAGCAUGCGGAUUAAUUCGAUGCAACGCGAAGAACCUUACCAAGGCUUGACAUAUACCGGAUCGUUCCAGAGAUGGUUCUUCCCCUUUGGGGUCGGUAUACAGGUGGUGCAUGGUUGUCGUCAGCUCGUGUCGUGAGAUGUUGGGUUAAGUCCCGCAACGAGCGCAACCCUCGUUCCAUGUUGCCAGCACGUGAUGGUGGGGACUCAUGGGAGACUGCCGGGGUCAACUCGGAGGAAGGUGGGGAUGACGUCAAAUCAUCAUGCCCCUUAUGUCUUGGGCUUCACGCAUGCUACAAUGGCCGGUACAAAGGGUUGCGAUACUGUGAGGUGGAGCUAAUCCCAAAAAGCCGGUCUCAGUUCGGAUUGAGGUCUGCAACUCGACCUCAUGAAGUCGGAGUCGCUAGUAAUCGCAGAUCAGCAACGCUGCGGUG
rnacentral:rRNA from 1 species